GACGUAGGGCGCGAGCGUUGUCCGGAUUUAUUGGGCGUAAAGAGCUCGUAGGCGGCUUGUCGCGUCGACUGUGAAAACCCGCAGCUCAACUGCGGGCCUGCAGUCGAUACGGGCAGGCUAGAGUUCGGUAGGGGAGACUGGAAUUCCUGGUGUAGCGGUGAAAUGCGCAGAUAUUAGGAGGAACACCGGUGGCGAAGGCGGGUCUCUGGGCCGAUACUGACGCUGAGGAGCGAAAGCGUGGGGAGCGAACAGG
rnacentral:rRNA from 1 species